rnacentral:rRNA from 1 species
CAGGACGAACGCUGGCGGCGUGCUUAACACAUGCAAGUCGAACGAUGAACCACUUCGGUGGGGAUUAGUGGCGAACGGGUGAGUAACACGUGGGCAAUCUGCCCUUCACUCUGGGACAAGCCCUGGAAACGGGGUCUAAUACCGGAUAUGAGCCUGGGAGGCAUCUCCCGGGUUGUAAAGCUCCGGCGGUGAAGGAUGAGCCCGCGGCCUAUCAGCUUGUUGGUGAGGUAAUGGCUCACCAAGGCGACGACGGGUAGCCGGCCUGAGAGGGCGACCGGCCACACUGGGACUGAGACACGGCCCAGACUCCUACGGGAGGCAGCAGUGGGGAAUAUUGCACAAUGGGCGAAAGCCUGAUGCAGCGACGCCGCGUGAGGGAUGACGGCCUUCGGGUUGUAAACCUCUUUCAGCAGGGAAGAAGCGAAAGUGACGGUACCUGCAGAAGAAGCGCCGGCUAACUACGUGCCAGCAGCCGCGGUAAUACGUAGGGCGCAAGCGUUGUCCGGAAUUAUUGGGCGUAAAGAGCUCGUAGGCGGCUUGUCACGUCGAUUGUGAAAGCCCGAGGCUUAACCUCGGGUCUGCAGUCGAUACGGGCUAGCUAGAGUGUGGUAGGGGAGAUCGGAAUUCCUGGUGUAGCGGUGAAAUGCGCAGAUAUCAGGAGGAACACCGGUGGCGAAGGCGGAUCUCUGGGCCAUUACUGACGCUGAGGAGCGAAAGCGUGGGGAGCGAACAGGAUUAGAUACCCUGGUAGUCCACGCCGUAAACGGUGGGAACUAGGUGUUGGCGACAUUCCACGUCGUCGGUGCCGCAGCUAACGCAUUAA